GCAUUUGUCCUCUUUGCCAUGUCGGAUUCAUGGCGGAUUGCUUUUUUGUUGUCAAAAGUUUUCCUAUUUUCCCCUGAAAAUUACCGAUGAAUUCCUUAAGAGUUUUUAUUGAUCUCUGUAGGUCACUACCCCAGCGUGGACACCUUGUUUUUUCCGAACAAAUUUUCACAACUACCGCAUCGAUAGACAAGGAAAGCUAAGGAAAACAUAAUCUAGACCAUGGGUAAUCUUCACGUCUAUUGCAGCACAAUUGCAGCAACUAGGAGAAGUCACGUGAAAAGAUGCAGGGCUCAUAUCAACCUAUGUUGUAGAUUCAACAUGUUCAACUGUUUGAUGCCAAAGUGAGGUCAAUGCCAAAGGACAGUUAGAACUAACUCAAACACAGAUGACUGCUGUUGCUGCCUUAGCCACAGGCAGGAAAGUUACUUUCUUUCUUCAGAGAAUUGGAAAGCUGCUGGCAUCCUUACUUGACUCAUUUCAUGUUCUGGAUAGCUUAGGAACCUGAUUGCUGGUGUUAUCAAUCCAUUUAGAUAAUGACCAAGAAGAUCCGGCUUACAGACUGAACAUCAGACGGGUGUCAGCAUCUCUUCGACGUGGCGGUUACAUUCAACAUGUACGUUCUACGUGGAUCAUCUUUUGUUAUUGGUAUGAAUUUUUUGCUAAUUAACUCAUUUGCUGCCACGCCUUUUUAUCCCCAUGUUAGCUUCUUCUUAGCACCAGCCCAAAUUUUGCCGAAAGGCCCUGGCAGUGCACCAUAGGGACUCCCCCCCCCCCCUUGUCGAUGCGGUGGUGGAUUCUAGAGGCGUGCAUUCCAUGUUCUCCUGUCACCGUGUCAGCCCGGACUUGUCAAGAGAUGGCAAGUUCCACCUUGGUCAUGGAUCCUUAAGACAUGGCGCGUAGGGAGUAGAAAACAACCUACGGGUUGCAUGGCGUGGCAGCCAAUGGGUUAAUUAUGUGUGUGUGUAUGUUAUGUGUAU
rnacentral:lncRNA from 1 species